ACAGACCCUUUCAGUUUUCUUACAGUAAAACAUAAAUGCAACUGUAGAUCCUAAAGAAAUGCACUCAGUUUCACUGCAGUUUCUCCCAGUCUUAGCAACUGUGUCAUUUGUUUAUCACUCUGAGGAAAGACAUAUUUUUCAUCUGUCCAUUCCUUCAUACAUUGCUUCUGCCAAAGAGCCCUGGUUCUAGGAAAGCAUCUGCCUGGCUGUAGAAGGGACUUCAUAUCUAGCUCUCCAAACUCCACUCCACACAACUGAAGUCAACAUUUUCCCUUCUCUGCCGACCGAAGUCAGUGGAGCUGGUGGAACUGAGAGAACCAUUUACACUGGUGAAACUGAGAAAAGAAUUCAGUGUAGUGUAUCUGACCCCUGCUGAGUCCCUGUCCCCUUCAGCAGAGAAGAGACUUUCCUCCAUCAGCUUCUUCUCCCCUCAAAUCACCUGUGGCCAGCAUUGCAUAUGGCUGGCGAUGCAGAACAGGAUAUGAAAACACUAGAACAAAUAACAAAAGAAGCCUUGCAACUGCACAAUGGGAGCGAAAGGAUCAUUCUGAAUAUAGUCUGUGAAACAGCAGCACUGUCUACACUGAUGCCAGGUAUAAUGGCUAUAUGCUCUUACACCUUCAGUUAACAUUGGCAGCACUCCGGAUUCUACUCGUACGGAUUUCAUUCGCGGUAAUGUCAGACCCAGCCUUACAGUUAAAAAAGUGACCACAAUGUUCUGCAGUAAUAGCCCCAAACACUCCAAUAUCCCUAUAGUAAGAUGUAGUAUUUGGGCCGUUGCUGUAAAAUACUGUGACUUUUUUAAAAUGAGAGCAGCUAUGGCUCAGUGCUGUAUUAUGCUUUGUCUUUAAGACAAGGCGACCCUAAAUGAUCCCAUAUGUACUUGAAACAUUGAUCUUGUUUAAUGACACAAAUUUGCCUUCAUUAAUCCUGAAGUUCCAUAGAAUUUGCUCUAUUACUCGGUGCCACUGUGGAAACAAUAGGCCAAGUGUAAACCAGCAUUGUUCCAUUGAAAUCAACAGAAUUGUGUUGAUUUUCACCAGCUGAGGAUAAUUUCUCUGUAUAUGUUAUACCUUUCUGGCAAAAUGUGCUUAUUCUUACUCAUACAAGUAGACCUGCCACAUGAGUAAGCGGAGCAGUAUUUGGUCCCCUUUACCAUAGCUAACAUUUGCUAACACAUCAAAGAUAGUUAAAAUUACAACUGGACGGGGAAAGGUAAAUAUUUCCUGCAGAUGUUUUGGGGA